UCCGGUUUGUCACCGGCAGUCUCGCUAGAGUCCUCGGCAUUACCCGUUAGCAACUAGCGACAGGGGUUGCGCUCGUUAAUGGACUUAACCAAACACUUCACAGCACGAGCUGACGACAGCCAUGCAGCACCUGUGCACGUUGUACCCUUGCGGACCUCAUUGAUGUUUCCACCAACUAAUCCGUGCAUGUCAAACCCAGGUAAGGUUCUUCGCGUUGCUUCGAAUUAAGCAACAUGCUCCACCGCUAGUGUGAGCCCCCGUCAAUUUCUUUGAGUUUCAGUCUUGCGACCGUACUCCCCAGGCGGGAUGCUUAACGCGUUAGCUGCGGCACCCGGGGACUAUAAAACCCCAGACACCAAGCAUCCAUCGUUUAAGGCCAGGACUAC
rnacentral:misc_RNA from 1 species